rnacentral:rRNA from 1 species
UGGGGAAUAUUGCGCAAUGGGGGAAACCCUGACGCAGCAACGCCGCGUGGAGGAAGAAGGUCUUCGGAUUGUAAACUCCUGUCUUUUGGGACGAAGAAUGACGGUACCAAAGGAGGAAGCCACGGCUAACUACGUGCCAGCAGCCGCGGUAAUACGUAGGUGGCGAGCGUUGUCCGGAAUUAUUGGGCGUAAAGGGCGCGUAGGCGGCACCUUAAGUCAGAUGUGAAAACCCGAGGCUCAACUUCGGGCAUGCAUUUGAAACUGGAGUGCUAGAGUGCAGGAGAGAAAAGCGGAAUUCCUAGUGUAGCGGUGAAAUGCGUAGAUAUUAGGAGGAACACCAGUGGCGAAGGCGGCUUUCUGGACUGUAACUGGCGCUGAGGCGCGAAAGCGUGGGGAGCAAACAGGAUUAGAUACCCUGGUAGUCCACGCUGUAAACGAUGGAUACUAGGUGUGGGAGGUAUCGACCCCUUCCGUGCCGCAGUAAACGCAAUAAGUAUCCCGCCUGGGGAGUACGGCCGCAAGGUUGC